rnacentral:rRNA from 1 species
UGGGGAAUAUUGCACAAUGGGCGCAAGCCUGAUGCAGCCAUGCCGCGUGUAUGAAGAAGGCCUUCGGGUUGUAAAGUACUUUCAGUCGGGAGGAAGGUGGUAAGGUUAAUAACCUUGGCAAUUGACGUUACCGACAGAAGAAGCACCGGCUAACUCCGUGCCAGCAGCCGCGGUAAUACGGAGGGUGCAAGCGUUAAUCGGAAUUACUGGGCGUAAAGCGCACGCAGGCGGUUGAUUGAGUCAGAUGUGAAAUACCCGGGCUUAACCCGGGAAUUGCAUCUGAUACUGGUCAGCUAGAGUCUUGUAGAGGGGGGUAGAAUUCCAUGUGUAGCGGUGAAAUGCGUAGAGAUGUGGAGGAAUACCGGUGGCGAAGGCGGCCCCCUGGACAAAGACUGACGCUCAGGUGCGAAAGCGUGGGGAGCAAACAGG